AGGCGGUUUGUCGCGUCUGCUGUGAAAGACCGGGGCUUAACUCCGGUUCUGCAGUGGGUACGGGCAGGCUAGAGUGUGGUAGGGGAGACUGGAAUUCCUGGUGUAGCGGUGAAAUGCGCAGAUAUCAGGAGGAACACCGAUGGCGAAGGCAGGUCUCUGGGCCACUACUGACGCUGAGAAGCGAAAGCAUGGGGAGCGAACAGGAUUAGAUACCCUGGUAGUCCAUGCCGUAAACGUUGGGCACUAGGUGUGGGGGACAUUCCACGUUUUCCGCGCCGUAGCUAACGCAUUAAGUGCCCCGCCUGGGGAGUACGGCCGCAAGGCUAAAACUCAAAGGAAUUGACGGGGGCCCGCACAAGCGGCGGAGCAUGCGGAUUAAUUCGAUGCAACGCGAAGAACCUUACCAAGGCUUGACAUGAACUAGUAAGGCCUGGAAACAGGUCCCCCACUUGUGGCUGGUUUACAGGUGGUGCAUGGUUGUCGUCAGCUCGUGUCGUGAGAUGUUGGGUUAAGUCCCGCAACGAGCGCAACCCUCGUUCCAUGUUGCCAGCGGGUAGUGCCGGGGACUCAUGGGAGACUGCCGGGGUCAACUCGGAGGAAGGUGGGGACGACGUCAAAUCAUCAUGCCCCUUAUGUCUUGGGCUUCACGCAUGCUACAAUGGCCGGUACAAAGGGUUGCGAUACUGUGAGGUGGAGCUAAUCCCAAAAAGCCGGUCUCAGUUCGGAUUGGGGUCUGCAACUCGACCCCAUGAAGUCGGAGUCGCU
rnacentral:rRNA from 1 species